rnacentral:rRNA from 1 species
AACGAACGCUGGCGGCAGGCCUAACACAUGCAAGUCGAGCGCGCCCUUCGGGGUGAGCGGCGGACGGGUGAGUAACGCGUGGGAACGUGCCCUUUUCUACGGAAUAGCCUCGGGAAACUGAGAGUAAUACCGUAUACGCCCUUUGGGGGAAAGAUUUAUCGGAAAAGGAUCGGCCCGCGUUGGAUUAGGUAGUUGGUGGGGUAAUGGCCUACCAAGCCGACGAUCCAUAGCUGGUUUGAGAGGAUGAUCAGCCACACUGGGACUGAGACACGGCCCAGACUUCUACGGGAGGCAGCAGUGGGGAAUCUUAGACAAUGGGGGCAACCCUGAUCUAGCCAUGCCGCGUGAGUGAUGAAGGCCUUAGGGUUGUAAAGCUCUUUCAGCUGGGAAGAUAAUGACGGUACCAGCAGAAGAAGCCCCGGCUAACUCCGUG